rnacentral:rRNA from 1 species
UACGUAGGGUGCAAGCGUUGUCCGGAAUUAUUGGGCGUAAAGAGCUCGUAGGCGGUCUGUCGCGUCGGCUGUGAAAACCCGGAGCUCAACUCCGGGCCUGCAGUCGAUACGGGCAAACUGGAGUACUGCAGGGGAGACUGGAAUUCCUGGUGUAGCGGUGAAAUGCGCAGAUAUCAGGAGGAACACCGGUGGCGAAGGCGGGUCUC